ACUGCAUUCGUGCGAGUUCGCUCUGGGCACCUCCCACCCGUGUCUCUUGCGUACUUUGUUGCUUUGGCGGGCCCACUGGGUCACUCCGGUCGCCGGGGGGCGCUAUGCUCCCGGGCCCGUGCCCGCCAGAGCACCCCUGUGAACCCUGAUGAAGAGAGGCUGUCUGAGUCCCACGAUAAUCGUUAAAACUUUCAACAAUGGAUCUCUUGGUUCCGGCAUCGAUGAAGAACGCAGCGAAAUGCGAUAAGUAAUGUGAAUUGCAGAAUUCCGUGAAUCAUCGAAUCUUUGAACGCACAUUGCGCCCCCUGGCAUUCCGGGGGGCAUGCCUGUCCGAGCGUCAUUUCUGCCCUCAAGCGCGGCUUGUGUGUUGGGCGUGGUCCCCCUGUCUUUGGCGGGGACCUGCCCGAAAGGCAGCGGCGACGUCCCGCCUAGUCCUCGAGCGUAUGGGGCUCUGUCACGCGCUCGGGAGGGACUGGUGGGCGUUGGUCACCCCUUAUUCUUUCUACGGUUGACCUCGGAUCAGGUAGGAGUUACCCGCUGAACUUAAGCAUAUCAAUAAGCGGAGGAA
rnacentral:rRNA from 1 species